GGGGAUUGUUGUGGUGAUAGUUUUUUGCAAUUUUUUUGAGAUUGCUUUUGCAAUUGUUUGAAUUUUAAAUUAAAUUGUUUCAGGUUAUUCUAGUUACCUGAGUCACUACCUCCUGACCCUAAAUUUUUUCCGGGAUUUGGAGUGGGUUAGAGUGGCACCCUUUAAUCUAUUUCACUUUUGAUAUAAUUACUGUUGUGACAAAUUUAAGUUAUUUUCUAUAUUAACACAAACAGCAGACAAUUAACUUUCGCAUAUUGUUCCUGAAAGAGAUUUUGGAUUUGGCAGGGAAGGAUGAUUCUGGCCCACUUGUGUGAUGAACCAAAGGGAUUGAAAACUAACAUGUGCAUGUC
rnacentral:misc_RNA from 1 species